rnacentral:tRNA from 1 species
GAGGCUGUAGCUCAAUAGUACAGCACUUGUCUAGCAUGCAAGAGGCCCUGGGUUCAAUCCCCAAUAUCA